rnacentral:rRNA from 1 species
GAUGAACGCUGGCGGCGUGCCUAAUACAUGCAAGUCGAGCGAACGGACGAGAAGCUUGCUUCUCUGAUGUUAGCGGCGGACGGGUGAGUAACACGUGGAUAACCUACCUAUAAGACUGGGAAAACUUCGGGAAACCGGAGCUAAUACCGGAUAAUAUUUUGAACCGCAUGGUUCAAAAGUGAAAGACGGUCUUGCUGUCACGUAUAGAUGGAUCCGCGCUGCAUUAGCUAGUUGGGAAGGUAACGGCUUACCAAGGCAACGAUGCAUAGCCGACCUGAGAGGCGGAUCGGCCACCCUGGAACUUAGCCACGGUCCAUACUCCUACGGGAGGCAGCAGUAGGCAAUCUUCCGCAGUGGGCGAAAGCCUGACGGAGCGACGCCGCGUGAGUGAUGACGGUCUUCGGAUCGUGAAACUCUGUUAUUAGUGAAGAACAUAUGUGUACGUAACUGUGCACAUCUUGACGGUACCUAAUCAGAAAGCCACGGCUAACUACGUG